GACCGCGUAGCUCAGUUGGAAGAGCAUUGGGCUAGUAUUCCAAAGGUCGUAGGUUCGAAUCCCACCGUGGUCG